CCUACGGGUGGCAGCAGUAGGGAAUCUUUCACAAUGGGCGAAAGCCUGAUGGAGCAACGCCGCGUGCAGGAUGAAGGCCUUCGGGUUGUAAACUGCUUUUAUAAGCGAGAAAUAUGAUGGUAACUUAUGAAUAAGGAUCGGCUAACUACGUGCCAGCAGCCGCGGUCAUACGUAGGAUCCGAGCAUUAUCCGGAGUGACUGGGUGUAAAGAGUUGCGUAGGUGGCAUAAUAAGUAGCUAGUGAAAUCUGGUGGCUCAACCAUUCAGACUAUUAGCGAAACUGUUAAGCUCGAGACCGUUAGGGGUAACUGGAAUUUAUAGUGUAGGAGUGAAAUGCGUAGAUAUUAGAAGGAACACCAAUAGCGUAGGCAGGUUACUGGGACGGUUCUGACACUAAGGCACGAAAGCGUAGGGAGCAAACGGGAUUAGAUACCCUGGUAGUC
rnacentral:rRNA from 1 species